rnacentral:rRNA from 1 species
UACGGAGGGGGCUAGCGUUGUUCGGAAUUACUGGGCGUAAAGCGCACGUAGGCGGCUUUGUAAGUUAGAGGUGAAAGCCCAGGGCUCAACCCUGGAAUUGCCUUUAAGACUGCAUCGCUUGAACAUCGGAGAGGUAAGUGGAAUUCCGAGUGUAGAGGUGAAAUUCGUAGAUAUCGGGAGGAACACCAGUGGCGAAGGCGGCGAUCUGGGAAGAUACUGACGCUGAGGUGCGAAAGCGUGGGGAGCAAACAGG